UGCCUUGUUAUUAAUGGCAAAUGAACCGUGGAUGAUGCUGUCAGAGAGCCUCUCUCCAUCUGACCCACGUUCUCCACUCCACAUCAUUCUGUUUACGAAUUACAGAGAUUGAGAAGAGCUUUGAAGUAACCAAUUUCAAUGGCUUGUUUUUGAGAGGAGGAAUUUGAAGAGUGCUGAUCAAAACUUGGAGAGGGAUACAAGCAAAAGAAAAAGGAGCAAUUUAAAGGAAGAAAUAAUCUGUGCAGAAGUGUCACAAUAAACAGAACACACAUAUUUCAAAGUCAUAAUCAUUAAAGAAAUGAAAUUAAAGCACAUAUGGAAUGAAGCAUAA